CUUUCCCUCUUUCCUCCGGCCUCCUCCCUGCACGUCGAGCGGAUGAACGGAGCUUGCUCUUGGAUUCUGCGGCGGACGGAUGAGUAAUGACUAGGAAUCUACCUGGUAGUGGAGGAUAACGUAAGGACACGGGCCCUAAUACAGCAUACGUCAUGAGUGAGAACGUGGGGGUUCUUCAGGCCUCGCGCUAUCAGAUGAGCCUAGGUCGGAUUAGCUCGUUGGUGGGGUAAGGGCCUACCAAGGCGACGAUCCAUAACUGAUCUGAGAGGAUGAUCAGUCACACUGGAACUGAGACACGGUCCAGACUCCUACGGGAGGCAGCAGUGGGGAAUAUUGGACAAUGGGCGAAAGCCUGAUCCAGCCACGCCGCGUGAGUGAAGAAGGUCUUCGGACUGUAAAACACUUUAAUUUGGGAGGAAGAUCAGUAAGAGAAAAUCUGGCCAUCUUGACGGUACCAACAGAGUAAGCACCGGCUAACUUCGUG
rnacentral:rRNA from 1 species